GUGCGGGUGCUAAUACAUGCAAGUCGAGCGAAUGGAUUAAGAGCUUGCUCUUAUGAAGUUAGCGGCGGACGGGUGAGUAACACGUGGGUAACCUGCCCAUAAGACUGGGAUAACUCCGGGAAACCGGGGCUAAUACCGGAUAACAUUUUGAACUGCAUGGUUCGAAAUUGAAAGGCGGCUUCGGCUGUCACUUAUGGAUGGACCCGCGUCGCAUUAGCUAGUUGGUGAGGUAACGGCUCACCAAGGCAACGAUGCGUAGCCGACCUGAGAGGGUGAUCGGCCACACUGGGACUGAGACACGGCCCAGACUCCUACGGGAGGCAGCAGUAGGGAAUCUUCCGCAAUGGACGAAAGUCUGACGGAGCAACGCCGCGUGAGUGAUGAAGGCUUUCGGGUCGUAAAACUCUGUUGUUAGGGAAGAACAAGUGCUAGUUGAAUAAGCUGGCACCUUGACGGUACCUAACCAGAAAGCCACGGCUAACUACGUGCCAGCAGCCGCGGUAAUACGUAGGUGGCAAGCGUUAUCCGGAAUUAUUGGGCGUAAAGCGCGCGCAGGUGGUUUCUUAAGUCUGAUGUGAAAGCCCACGGCUCAACCGUGGAGGGUCAUUGGAAACUGGGAGACUUGAGUGCAGAAGAGGAAAGUGGAAUUCCAUGUGUAGCGGUGAAAUGCGUAGAGAUAUGGAGGAACACCAGUGGCGAAGGCGACUUUCUGGUCUGUAACUGACACUGAGGCGCGAAAGCGUGGGGAGCAAACAGGAUUAGAUACC
rnacentral:rRNA from 1 species